AUGGAUGGAAGGCAGCUUCCUGUCACUUCAAAGACAUGGUACAGCUAUUCGUGCGUAGUGGUCCGACAGAAUAGGAUUGUCAGAUGGUAUUCAAUAUUGAUUAUAUGUUACUGGGGCUCUGGUGGGGCUAAAAUUCUAUUGGUGAUUAUCCGGUUGGUUCGUUGUCUGGAUACAAUUAAGGAGCCUGCGGCACAGUCCUUGAUUAUUUGGAUAUUUGGUGAGUAUAGCUCUAUUGGAAAUCUAAUCCCAAAGAUAGCUCCAGUUGUUCUUAAGUAUCUGGCAUGGUCCUUUGCCGCCGAAGUGCUCGAGACAAAGCUUCAGAUCCUAAAUGCUUCUGCAAAGGACUUCUGCCAUGCUGUGCUACUGAAAAUGACUCCUCAUGUCGAUCACAGAAUGCUAGCUGAUCAUAUCUUUGGUGGGAAGAUACCUCCUCCAUCUAAUUCAGACAGCAACUACCGGAUUUAUCUUCCGGGUUCCCUGUCACAAGUUGUUCUUCAUGCAGCGCCUGGUUAUGCACCACUUCCGAAGUCUGAAAGUAUGAUCUUAAUUCAUAAGACCGUAGAGCCAACCAGAGGUGUAGCUGAUUCCUCCGAAAUUACUAAUUCUGACGCUGAAUCUGGAUCUUCAAGGGGUGAGAGUGGCUCUGUGUAUGAUUCAGAAAGUGAAGCUGGUAGUGAUUCGAAUGAUGAUGGCCAUAACCUUCAUCGUCAAGAGGAGAAUCAGGAAGCUCCGCUGAUUCAUAUGUAUGAUGGUAAUGUAGAUCAAGCCUAUGCAGGUCGAGCUGUCGAUGAAAAUUUGGCAUCUCUCAUCUCUACUGAUUUGACAGAAUUAAUGUCCAAGUCAGCCUUGGAGUCAUGGCUUGAUGAGGCUCCUGCUGCACCACUUGUUCAGGAUCCGGUACAGACAUCAUGUGCAAGGGUUUCUUUUACCACUCACAGCUUUGAGAGAAAACCUAAAUUGCAUAGGUUGUUAGAUCCAUCGGCUAGUGAUGGCUUGAGUGUUCUAUAUGCCUUCUCGUCUGAGGUUUCACCCAAAUCACGCUUGCUAGUAUGUGUAGACUUGUUUGUCGAGAAUGUUACAACAGAACAAUUAGCGGAUAUAACCAUUAAAUCUGAAGAGGCUUCUGGUAGCAAGGGUGGCAUGGACCAAACAUCAGAAGGAUCCGCAAGCAUACCAACUCUUGUUCCUGUUGAAGAGAUACAGUCACUGGCUCCUGAACAGACAGCUAAGAUGCUUCUUCAGGUUCACUUUCAUCACUAUCUCUUGCCCUUGAAGUUGUCUGUCCUUUGCAAUGGGAAAAGGCAUCCAGCAAAACUUCACCCGGACAUCGCUUAUUUUGUACGACCACUACCCAUGGAUCUAAAUGCUUUUCUAUGCAAGGAAAACCAGCUGAGGGGAAUGUUUGAGUACGCUAGAAGGUGCACCUUCAAAGAUCAUCUUCAAAAGCAUGAGCAGAACGAAGAUAGUACAGACCACAACACCGACAAAAAUCUUCUAGUAGCCCAAACUCUUGCAUCGAAAGUACUCAGCAAUGCCAAUGUUCACCUGGUGUCAAUGGAUAUGCCGGUGACCUUCAGCAUCGAGGACGCCUCUGGCUUGUGCUGGCGAUUCAGCAGUGAGAUCCUGAGCACUUCGAACCCCUGCCUGAUCACUGUCGUGGCGGAUGGGCAUACCUCGGAACCACUGGAUCUCACCGUCAAGGUGAACUCCGAAGACACGGCGUUCGGCCUGAAGCUCCUGAACAGAGUCGUAUCGAUCAUAGAGUGA
rnacentral:rRNA from 1 species